rnacentral:lncRNA from 1 species
AGACCAGAAUUACACAUAAACCAUUAUUGCACUAGUUUCAUUCACCAAACUAAAAAGCAUUGUUGGCAAUAUCAGCGAACCCACUGCAACUGUCUCUAACCACUCACCCUCCAGGGAUGGCCCAGCCAAAGCACCUGUCCAGUUUCAGCUCACUAUCUCAUUCCCCCCAACUCUCCUCCUGGCAGCGUUCACCCGAGACCACCUUCCUGGGAGCAAUAUUCAGCGAUGCAUAUCCGUAACAUAGAGUCCAAGAGAAUCAAUCCAAGAAUAGCACAACGCCUCUAUUACCAGCCCCUUACCAAGCUUAUAUACCUACACACCCAGCCAGCCAGCAGCAUCGCUCCCUACUGAACCUCAGCACCCUCCCCAGCUUCUACAUAUCCAUGCUUAACAGAAUUUGACCCAAGCAACUUCAGGAAACCUUACUUAACAAAAGUCACCCGCGAGCAAGGUUAUACGGUGCCCCAGCUGAGUUCACCCGCUGCUAGCAGAGAAGCAUAACAGCCAGCUAUAUAAAUCCAUUACCUCUCCAUAUCUUCAUCCAUCCGAACGUGCUCAUUGGCAGCUUGCCUUUAAUCACACACAUACGUUUGCUUGGGAGACCCACCACACUAUUGGCCAUCUUCGUCUAGAAACUGUACUCCUUUUGUCAGAACUCCAGGGUCAGCAAUAGCAAGUCAUCUACAUCACUGCCUCCCAUUGGCCCCACACCCGAGUCUCUGGUAA